rfam:Picea glauca, whole genome shotgun sequence.
ACAUGCCUACAAAACAACGUUAAUGCACUAGAUCCCAUUAGAAAUUCGCAGUUAAGCGUGCUCAGGCUAGAGUAGUACUCGGAUGGGUGACCGCCCGGGAAUUCGUAGUGUUUUACAUGCC